ACGCUCGACACCUACGGGGGCAGCAGUGGGGAAUAUUGCACAAUGGGGGAAACCCUGAUGCAGCGACGCCGCGUGAGCGAAGAAGUAUUUCGGUAUGUAAAGCUCUAUCAGCAGGGAAGAAAGUGACGGUACCUGACUAAGAAGCACCGGCUAAAUACGUGCCAACAGCCGCGGUAAUCUGAGCGGGCUGGCAAGGC
rnacentral:rRNA from 1 species